GCGCGCCCCGCACGGCCGACGCCCCCGCCCCACUCGCCCAGCACGGCCGCCGCCACUCCGCCCCAAGAGAGCACAGCGAACAGGAAGUCGCCGAAGGUGGCCUUGGCCAGAACGUGGCGCGCGUACGCACCGCCCGAGCCCAGGAUGGGGCGAGGCGUCGUGGCAGGCCUUGGAGUUUGCACCGAAGGAGCUCAGGAAUGGGGAAUGGGCGCGAGGCAUCGCGGUGGAGGACGAUAAGGCGACCGACGUGCUCGCUUGGGCCGAGGCAUCGGGGCGGAGGACGACAUGGUGGUCGGCUUGCUCGCUUCCGAGGAUGGAGGCCGCCUCGCCGGGGCUCGGGUGGGGCAUCACGGUGCCGGGCUAUUGCCGGUGGUGCCGGGGCCGGGUGGUGGUUUGACGGGCGACGCAGAGGAGGUGCUGUCCUGGAUCCAACAACCAGCGCAGGGGUGGCCCGGCGGGAGCUGCAGCUCGUCGGCAUCGCGGCCAUGCUCAUCGCCUGCAAGUAUGAGGAGAUAUGGGCGCCCGAGGUAGGCGAUUUCAUAUCCAUCGCCGAUAACUACUACUCGAGGCAGCAGAUCCUGUCCAUGGAGAAGAAUAUCCUGAACAGCAUGGCAUGGAACCUCACGGUGCCCACCCUGUACGUCCCUGGUGCGGUUCGCUAAGGCCGCCGGGGGCGACAAGGAGCUUCCAAACAUGAUAUUCUUCUUCGCCGAGAUGGCGCUCAUGGAAUAUGAGCUGGUCACCGUGCGCCCCUCGCUGCUGGCAGCGUCUGCCGUGUACGCUGCUCGGUGCACGCUGAAAAGAAGCCCUAUCUGGACAGAAACCCUUAAGCAUCACACCGGACUCGCUGAACCACAGCUCCUGUUGUUAAGUAUCUGAUUGUCGCUUUCGACAUCGUCAACUCUGUACACGAGCAAGGGAAUACAGCGUUGCAUAUAGCAGUGCUCCGAGGUCAUUUACCGGUGGUGGAAGCCCUGAUGACUGCAUCACCAUCACUUAUAUAUGCUAGAAAUGAAGUUGGUGACACGUUCCUCCAUAUGGCACUGACUGGCUUCAGAACUCUUGGCUUCCGAAGGCUUGAUCGUCAGGCUCACGAAGCAUCUGGUCUCUGGAUCGAUCAUGGAUGUCAGCGAUGUAAUCAACGUGCAGAACGACGAUGGAAGAACCGUGCUUCACCUGGCAGUGGUUGGUAAUCUGCACUCCAGCCUCGUUGAGCUCCUGAUGACCGUGCCAUCGAUCGACCUGAACGUCCGUGACAGCAACGACAUGACCCCGCUGGAUUUACUGAAGAAGCAGCCGCACACUGCAUCGUCUGAGAUACUCAUCAAGGAGCUGAUUCUGGCCAGCGGGAUCUCGAACUCGAGGUAUCACGAGACGAGGUCCGCCAUUGCUUCUCAACUGAAGAUGCACCACAUUGUGGGCAGCCCGGGGACUUCUUUCAGAAUCUCAGAUGCCGAGAUUUUCCUCCAUGCGGGCAUUGAUGCGUCAGGCGUCAGUGAAAGAACGAGAACGAGAACGACCUCGUUCUCUAGCGUUGGCAAGAGUGCUGAACUUGUAACCCUGGGACCUGGUAUUAAGAGGCUGAAUUCCAUGCAGAGCGCGGCUAGACACCUCAAGGUCCUGCUCAGCUGACCGCUUCGCAAGGGGAAUAAAUCAGCUGGUAGCCCCAGGGAAUCGGACGAUGACGCCUCCUCGGUGGACUCCGUCAAGAGCUGGAGCCAUGUCGAGACUACCCCGACACCGCUGAGGCAGAGGUACUCCAAGGUGAGCUCCCUAUUUGGCAACAAGCGAACCUUGGCAAGUCCAUCAAUGAAGAUGAGGUCGGCAGCUGACCACACACUGCCCGAAUCUCCCCCGGUUUCGGCGUCAUGGUCUUCGUCGUCGUUGAUCGACAAGAUCGAAGCAGUCCAUCUAGACAAAGACCGAACCAUCACCCAGCACCAGUGCAAUGAUCAGGCACACUCCUAAGAAAUAUGGAUCUCUGAACAGUAGACUUAUGAACCAGUACCUUGGCACCGGAGCGCAGUUGGGGGAUUCAACCUCGGGGCAGCGGUCGAGACGAUCACUUCUGUCAGUAGUCUGAUCAGAUGAGUUAGAUGGUGCAGUUUAAAUUUGACUGAUAAGGCUGAGAUAACUAAAUAUGUCUACAAAAAUUACUAAUGCAAUGUGGGCAGGUAAGUGUAACUGAGAGCAUGAUUUGGAAAUGGAUGGAUUAUAAAGUUCCUAAAGUUAAUUACCAUAUGUGCAAAUCAUGACCUCUGCCUUACAUAAUGUGUAAGUACAUGAAAUGACAGAUGUGUCAAUCAUUCAUCA